GACGAAGGAUGCAAGCGUUAUCCGGAUUCAUUGGGUUUAAAGGGAGCGUAGGUGGCCUUAUAGGUCAGUGGUGAAAUCUCUGGGCUUAACCCAGAAAUUGCCAUUGAUACUGUAGGGCUUGAGUACAGUUGCUGUGGGCGGAAUAUGACAUGUAGUGGUGAAAUACAUAGAGAUGUCAUAGAACACCGAUUGCGAAGGCAGCUCACAAAACUGUAACUGACACUGAGGCUCGAAAGUGCGGGGAUCAAACAGG
rnacentral:rRNA from 1 species